ensembl:lncRNA
CCCUGUUGCCUAACCAGACAAAAUGUGGCCUGUGAUGUGGAUGAAGUCCUGUGGCCUGACCCAGUACAGAGACAUGAUGCUGUGGCUGAGUAAUGCACUUAUUUGUAUAUUUUUUGUACUUUAUUUUUACAUGGGCUUACUGUACACAAGUGUCAAACGCAUAAGAUUUCUGUUUUGUCUUUUUGUACAAGUGCUAAAUGCACAGGUUUUUUUUUGUUUUGCAACAUGCAUUUAGCCUACAGUGAACAAUAAACAUUUAUUUCUCCAGCUUCAUGUCCUGAGCAUUGUGUUUUCUAUUUUUCUACGUAGUGUUUAGUGAUUGUUCAGUAGUGUUUUUAAUUUUGAUUGACUCGGGGGACGAUUUGUCAACAUGGUUCAGUUUUGAGCACAGACUGAACUGUUUUGUGGUGAAAGUUUGGUUUUGCAAGAAGAGUCUGAGGUUUUGUGAAUGUAGCUUUUGUGUUCACAAUUUAGAGAAAAGGAGAGCAGCUUUCAAGAAAUGUGUCUUAGCAAUCGAGAAAAACUGUAAUAAAUAAUAAAAUGCAAAUCUAGUGGUCAGUCAUCGGAUUUUUAUUUCCUCUGUUUGUCUCUGUUUGCUGACGUCAGGCAGGAAUCAUGAAGGAUUUUGAGUGUGUUGGUCAGAGCUUCUGUCCUGCCAUCUGCUUCAUUAUUGAUGGACAGACAGAUAUAAAAAAAAGAGGCGAGCCGCGCACGAUUCUGAAGGGCACCACAUGAAAGACUGAUAGAGAGACAGAGACUGAGAGGUAGAGAGAGAGAGAGAGACUGAGACUGAGAGAGAGAGAAAGAGAGAGAUGCUGAUUGGUCUUUCAGGACUCCAUGGCAACAGAUACUGAGUGUGUUUGAUGAGAGAUGAAGCGUCAGACUGUAAGUGGCUCUUCAUGUUGAUCUGUGAGUAAAUCUGACCUCUUCAUCAUCAGACUCCAUCAUGGAGAAAACUCCUGCUGGACUCGGGAUCAUCGCCAGUGAAAUCAUCAAAACUAGUGAGGACUGCGGAAAGCGUCACAGGGUUGACCUCCGACCCGCUCCUCUCUUCCGUACGCUGGGUCUGAGGGGUCUGUCUGCUAGUUUACCGCCCCACCGUCGCCUGCGUUCAGUCUUAAACACCACCCCGAGCACGUCAGGUCAGUCUGUUGAUCGUUCUGACCCUUUAAUGGACAGACCUCACCGAAACUCACCCUUACAUGGGCUCAAACGCAUUCAAGACAAGCCACUGCCCAAAAUUGUACCUGCAAACCAUCAAAAAGAUGAGAUAUCCAUAAAGAACGAGCCACAAACGGUCAGAGUUCAGUACUGGCAUCACAGCAGCCGAGACACAGGAAUCAGGACUGAGAAGGAAGAGUAUUUGUUUGAAGAAGUUUGGCGGGAACAGACACCAAAGGUGAUGAGAAAAAAGAAAAAUAAACAAGUAAAAAACGAGGCGUCAGACCUCAGCCUGUGGAUACAGAGUUUAGAAAUAACAGACAACAAGAGACUCCGGAACAACUCGAGUGGGCGUGGCAACUGGGCGGGGCCUUUGUGUAAAGGGGCGGGGCAAACUCAGCGAGACCGACGCCCACACUUCCUGCCGCCCAUCACUCAAAGCGACUGCUUGCUUAACGUCCCUCUGCUCCUCCCAGACAACUCCCCGCCUCCGUCACCCUGCUCUCCGUCAGACAUCCGGUUCUUCCCUCUGUCUGUUCCUCACAUCCAGCCUUUUCCCAGAGAGAGGAGAGGAGACGCAGCAGCUCAGCGCCACUGACACGAUCACGUACUACAACUCAGUCUUCAUGAAGGAAAUAUACACUUGCAUUCUAAAAUAAGACUAAUGUCAUGAAAACUCAUAAUGAACACAGAUGAUGGUCUGAGAAUGAUGUUGUGAUUAAAUCAUGAGACAAAUGAAAACUCACUUUAUAUAUGAGCUUCUUCUUCGUCUAGAUUCACAAGCAAGACAUUUACCAAUCAAACUUCAGAAACACUGAGGAACAUGCGUCAUGAGCACGUGAUGAAAAAAACUAAAUAAAUAAACGUUCAUUUUUUACAGUUUAUAUCUGUGUACAAACCAUUUAAAGGGACAUUUCAACCAAAAUGAAAUUAUUCCACUUUAAAUAAUUCAAAACCUGUAUGAGUUUCUUUCUUCUGUUGAACAUGAAAGAAGAUAUUUUGAAGAAUGUAAUCAGGGAUUUGUUGGUCCUCACUGACCUCCACAGUAUGGAAGAUAAAAAUACUGUGGAAGUCAAUGGAGACCAGAGACGGAC